CGCUGUGAAUCAAGGGCAUAUUCGUUUUUGAAUAAGAUUUAGGGUUUUUGAAAUUCAGAAUGGGCCGGUGACGAGUCCGAAAUUCUAUCCAUCCUCCCCCAAGUUGGAAAGUCCUAAUCUCUUCCUAUAUAAUCUUUUGAUUCACUGCGAAGGGGGGGGGGAGAAUUUUUAUUUUUUUUCUAGGAACUUCUAGGAGAAAAAGAGGAAAACAAAUAUAGAUUUUUGAGAGGUUUUUCUUUUUU
rnacentral:misc_RNA from 1 species